rnacentral:rRNA from 1 species
CGCCCGUGACGUCGCGAGAAGUCCACUGAACCUUAUCAUUUAGAGGAAGGAGAAGUCGUAACAAGGUUUCCGUAGGUGAACCUGCGGAAGGAUCAUUGUCGAGACCUGCCCAGCAGAAGGACCGGCGAAC